rnacentral:misc_RNA from 1 species
CACUCGGGGACCCAAAGGAUUUGCGCUUGCCUCGCCAAUAAUAUCCUCUUUAAAUUAGCAGCAAAGGAAUGCCCUUUUGUUUGAUAUUACACUAGCAAAGCACCCAUAGCUUCAUCAUGACAUAAUAUGGUUAAUUUUAUUCGUAUAGUUUAUACCUUUGUCUUUUCUUUAUUGGAUUGCCAAUGUGAGAUUAAGAAUGUGUUGCAUGUGAUGGGAG